CUAGCUGUAAACGAUGCUGACUGGGUGUCGGCGAUUAAAAACCGUCGGUGCCGUAGCUAACGCGUUAAGUCAGCCGCCUGGGGACUACGGCCGCAAGGCUAAAACUCAAAGGAAUUGACGGGGACCCGCACAAGCAGCGGAGCGUGUGGUUUAAUUCGAGGCUACGCGAAGAACCUUACCAGGGUUUGACAUGCAAGUAGUAGUGAAGCGAAAGUGGAACGAUCCUUCGGGAAGCUUGCACAGGUGA
rnacentral:rRNA from 1 species